rnacentral:rRNA from 1 species
AUUGAACGCUGGCGGCAGGCCUAACACAUGCAAGUCGAGCGGAUGAAGGGAGCUUGCUCCUGGAUUCAGCGGCGGACGGGUGAGUAAUGCCUAUGAAUCUGCCUGGUAGUGGGGGAUAACGUCCGGAAACGGGCGCUAAUACCGCAUACGUCCUGAGGGAGAAAGUGGGGGAUCUUCGGACCUCACGCUAUCAGAUGAGCCUAGGUCGGAUUAGCUAGUUGGUGGGGUAAAGGCCUACCAAGGCGACGAUCCGUAACUGGUCUGAGAGGAUGAUCAGUCACACUGGAACUAGGACACGGUCAAGACUCCUACGGGAGGAGCCAGUGGGGAAUAUUGGACAAUGGGCGAAAGCCUGAUCCAGCAAUGCCGCGUGUGUGAAGAAGGUCUUCGGAUUGUAAAGCCCUUUAUGUUGGGAGGAAGGGCAGUAAGUUAAUACGUUGCUGUUUUGACGUUACCAACAGAAUAAGCACCGGCUAACUUCGUG